UUAACUCAGCGGGAGAGUGCUACCUUCACACGGUAGAAGUCACUGGUUCAAUCCCAGUA
rnacentral:tRNA from 1 species